AGGGAUGUAGCGCAGCUUGGUAGCGCGUUUGUUUUGGGUACAAAAUGUUAUGGGUUCAAAUCCUGUCAUCCCUA
rnacentral:tRNA from 1 species